rnacentral:rRNA from 1 species
CCUACGGGGGGCAGCAGUGAGGAAUAUUGGUCAAUGGCCGGAAGGCUGAACCAGCCAUGCCGCGUGAAGGUCAGUGCCCUAUGGGCGUUAAACUUCUUUUGUGCGGGAGCAAUAAUUGUCACGUGUGGCCAGACGAGAGUACCGUACGAAUAAGCAUCGGCUAACUCCGUGCCAGCAGCCGCGGUAAUACGGAGGAUGCAAGCGUUUUCCGGAUUAAUUGGGUUUAAAGGGUGCGUAGGCUGUGUGGUAAGUCAGCGGUGAAAUGCCCCCGCUCAACGGGGUGAAGGACGAUUGAUACUGGCUUGCUGGAAUGCGGAUGCGGUAGGAGGAAUGUGUGGUGUAGCGGUGAAAUGCAUAGAUAUCACACAGAACACCGAUUGCGAAGGCAUCUCACGAAUCCGCGAUUGACGCUGAUGCACGAAAGCGUGGGUAUCAAACAGGAUUAGAUACCCUGGUAGUC